CACACAGUGCACUCGCUCAUCUUUGUAAGACCUCAGUCAGUGGUCAGUGUACAAACACUUUGCAUCGUCUUCUCUCCACGGAGGCUGCUCUUCAGCACCCGGCGCGAGAACAAUCCCAUAACUUCACUUCACGUGCUUGAGCCGCCACGCGCUCAUAUUCACAUUCUGUCACAUUCAUCGACGCGUGUAUCAUCCGCUGUGUGGUGAAAAGCGCAGAGCUGCGUGGGACCGAUUUCCCGCCGCUGCAAGGAGACACCAACCGUCUUCUGAAAGCUGAAUGGCAAUGCAUCAAAACAUAAAGCAUUUUGAGGCUCAUUAAGGAGGCAUUAUACGAUGAGGUCUGCGGAGCGGUCACACGGGCCUAGUGAUGGAUGUGAAAGCGAUCCGCUGCUGAAACCCGGUUAGGUCGAGUCUCU